ACCCCACAUAGAUGAGUUGGGUGCCAUGCUGUUAGCAGACGAGGAGAGCAGUAUUAUGCAUCAGGUGCACGCCGUCAGCUUUGUAGAAGAUUCCAUCUUCAUGGAGUCAUCUCUUGGUCCACGUUUGCUUGAAGACAGGCACGUGACACAAGCGGACCUCAAGAGCUCCACGUUUUGGCUCCGAGCAAGUUUUGGUGCUACUGUCUUUGCAUUUCUGGGUUUCGCUAUGUACAAAGCAUUAAUAAAGCAGCGGUGAUCUGAGAAGAAGCACAUCUGGCCCUACCAAAUGGAAAUAAACUUUUAUGUACAUUCUGAA